rnacentral:rRNA from 1 species
CCUACGGGGUGCAGCAGUGGGGAAUAUUGCGCAAUGGGCGAAAGCCUGACGCAGCGACGCCGCGUGAGGGAUGAAGGUCUUCGGAUCGUAAACCUCUGUCAGCAGGGAAGAACGGUCACUGUGCUAAUCAGCAGUGAAUUGACGGUACCUGCAAAGGAAGCACCGGCUAACUCCGUGCCAGCAGCCGCGGUAAUACGGAGGGUGCGAGCGUUAAUCGGAAUUACUGGGCGGAAAGCGCUCGUAGGCGGUAUGUUAAGUCAAGGGUGAAAUCCCCGCGCUCAACGUGGGAACGGCCUUUGAAACUGGCAAACUUGAGUGUGUGAGAGGAUAGUGGAAUUCCAGGUGUAGGAGUGAAAUCCGUAGAUAUCUGGAGGAACAUCAGUGGCGAAGGCGACUAUCUGGCACAUAACUGACGCUGAGGAGCGAAAGCGUGGGUAGCAAACAGGAUUAGAUACCCGAGUAGUC